GAAACAUCAAAGGGGAAUGAAAUGUUGUAAAUAAAAAAGUAGGCAAAAAAUAGUGAUAUAAAGCAAAUAAACAGACAUGCAAGUGUGUCUCCUGGAAGAAGAAUCCAUGGUUGAAAAGACACCUGCCUGAGUGAUGCUGGUGGGAACUGCUCAGUGGUCAACCCUGGGAGCCGAAUGAAUGGCCAUCAGCAGAGGAUGCGGGACAGCUGUGCUCCACCCCCAUGACGGUGCCACCACUGAGGAGGAGCAGCGCGCAGGGAUCCCAGCCUGGUGUUACUGCUUGAAGAAGACCUGCCAGAAACAUUUAUACCGAAUGGUUCCAGCUCCACCCUCUCUACUCCACCAGGGACAAAAAGCACGGGGUCAGCUUGGGGUGAGAGGACAGGAGGGGACAGCAGCUCCACAAGAGACGCUCCCAGGUGAUGCGUGAGAGCGCUCUGCACCCCCGCUGGGUGGGAGGUUUCACAAAGGCUGCUGACCCCUCGCACUGUCUCUGCACUGCAUACUGCACUUGGGGUUGAGCUCGGUAUCUGUGCUUAAGUAGCUGUCCAUGUGCACUUGAAAGUUACGACCUGCUGUGAAUCCUCCACUCCUGGCCACCCAGGGGUUAUCAGCUGAAACUUUUGUAUCCUUUAAAGAAAAUUAUAUUGGACAUUUUGGGAUCAUCUCCAUAGUCCCUAUUGGAAUCGAAAGGCAAUUGAAGUCAACCCAGGAAAGAAAAUCAUCCUCAAAUCCAUCAGAUCUCUAAGUGCUGACAUGAGCACUAUGUCUUGAGAGAGAAUGGACCCUUUGGAUGGGGAAGCACACUUCCCCCGUGCCUGCUGGAUCUUAAGCAUCUACACAUUUGCCUAAUUAAAACUUCUGAUUCAUCAAACUCUAACAUCACAGGCAGCUUUUCUGGUUUCUCAUUGCUGUUUCUAAGGAGCACACAGAUAGAUGUGUUCCACUAUGAAAGGAAGGGGCCAUGGGGUCUUAUCAGAGGUUUGGCUUAUGACCCUAACAUUGCAACCUCACUUCCUUGGCGACAGGUCCAAACAGAACUCGGAACCCUGGAGUCACUGGGCACCACAGUCCAGCGACGGCUGCCUAACAGUCACUUGGCUGGAGAGAGUCAGCUGCGAUCAUGCUGUGCCGCUUUCCCAGGCCUCGAGGCCGCAGCAACAGGACCCUGUGCAGGGAAAGGACUUGGGCACUGGGGCCCAACGGGAGGAGAGCCGGCAGAGGACUGCAUGNUGUGGAUCCACAGCAGUGCAAGAGGAGCCCAGGAGCGGCAUAGACUCCGGGCAGCACAGCGCUGCAGAGCUGAAGCCUGAGGAGAGGUGGGUGGGACAGAUGCCCACUGUCCCCCAUGUCUCAGAUCGUUACAGAGCAGUGGCCCUGUGCCCUUGAGUGUAACACGCACAGACAACAGAUGCUGUCCUCAUGCGGCUGACAGUGGGGAUGGGUGGGGAGACGGUGUGUUGGGCUGCCCUGAACAAGGCAGAGGCGGUCACACCACAGAGCACGGAGCCUCCUGUUAGGCUCUCGGGCUGCCUGGGCCAGCACUGCCCCACUGGGCAUGGAGAGGGUGGGGCUGGAGCACGCCUAGCUGGGGCAGGAGGCCUACUUGUCCAUCUCUGCAUGUUCCCUGGGCAGGCAGCAUGGGAGGAAAGGCCAGGCCUCUCACUCUGCCUCCUACCUGCCUUUCCAGUCCUCCUUUUUUGUCCUCCACUUCUUGGUGCAGCUACACUCCCAGGAGAAUCCACCAGCUGAACUCCUGGCCCAGCUGGAGCAAGCAGAGCCCACUGAGGCACAGCCCAUGGGCGAGGAGGACGGGGUGUAGGCCUGUGGGUAUGAGGGGAGGGAUGGACCUUUAGACUGGGCCAGCACUGCCCCACUGGGCAUGGAGAGGGUGGGGCUGGAGCACACGCAGCCGGGCCAGGAGGCCUACUUAUCCAUCUCUGCAUGUUCCCUGGGCAGGCAGCAUGGGAGGAAAGGCCAGGCCUCUCACUCUGCCUCCUACCUGCCUUUCCAGUCCUCCUUUUUUGUCCUCCACUUCUUGGUGCAGCUACACUCCCAGGAGAAUCCACCAGCUGAACUCCUGGCCCAGCUGGAGCAAGCAGAGCCCACUGAGGACAGCCCAUGAGCCCACGGGUGAGGAGGACGGGGUGUGGGCCUGUGGGCAUGAGGGGAGGGAUGAGCCUUUAGACACAGAGACAGCUUCCAGGUGCUGGGGUGACCCGGGAUCACUGAGACCUCAGCCCUCACUGUCUGGGAAGACUUCCUGGGGAGGCUUUGUGCGCAGAGCUGUCUGAUGGGCAGUGGGGAGGUUUUGCCCUGGGAGGGAACAUGGACAGUUGGUGACUUUUUCUUUUCUUGGAACUGCAGGACCAGCUCCACCCCCAGCUGAAGUCCCAUGUGCGGAGCCCGAGCCAGCUCCUGCAGCUUCCGCCCAGCCCUGGGACCACAGCCAGAGUCCAUGGCAGCCCCUUCACCUGCUGCAGUGCUGGGUCACCCGGUGGCUGCACGGCGGUCAGUGUCACCUCCUGAGCCCUGCCUGGGGCCAGCUCCUGGCCCCCUCCCACUGUUCCCCUCACUUAUGCUGGCUCUUGUUUUGGUAUUUACAAUUGCCCUUAUUUCUUGGAUUUAUGUAAAUAAUAGAACUAGCUUUUAAUAAAACUUAAAAUUUUAGUGUUUAAAAGGGUCAGCGUGGUGGCCUGAAGUGCCUUCUCCCUGUGUGUGCCCAUCCUCACAGCACUGUGCUUGGUGGCUCCUGCCCACGCCCCUGGCCCCUUUCCUCUC
rnacentral:lncRNA from 1 species